rnacentral:rRNA from 1 species
GACGAACGCUGGCGGCGUGCUUAACACAUGCAAGUCGAACGGAAAGGCCCUGCUUUUGUGGGGUGCUCGAGUGGCGAACGGGUGAGUAUAACGUGUGUAAACUGUCCUUGUCUUUGGGAUAACUUCAGGAAAAUGGGGCUCAUAUCGGAUAGGAGCUCUUGCUGCAUGUUGUGGGAUGGAAAGUUUCGGCGGUGGUGGAUGGACUAGCAGCUUAUCAGCUUGUUUGUGAGGUAGGUGCUUACCAAGGCUUUGACGGGUAGCCGGCCUGAGAGGGUGACCAGCCACAUGAGGACUGAGGUACGGCGCAGAAUCCUACGGGACGCAGCAGUGGGGAAUAUUGCACAAUAACCGGGAGCCUGAUGCGACAACGCCGCGUUCGGAAUGACGGCCUUCGAGUUGUAAACCACUUUCGCCGUAAACGAGGCGUGAGUGACGGUAAUGAGUAAGAAAGCACCGGCUAACUACGUG